rnacentral:rRNA from 1 species
AAGUCGAGCGAACGGACGAGAAGCUUGCUUCUCUGAUGUUAGCGGCGGACGGGUGAGUAACACGUGGAUAACCUACCUAUAAGACUGGGAUAACUUCGGGAAACCGGAGCUAAUACCGGAUAAUAUUUUGAACCGCAUGGUUCAAAAGUGAAAGACGGUCUUGCUGUCACCUAUAGAUGGAUCCGCGCUGCAUUAGCUAGUUGGUAAGGUAACGGCUUACCAAGGCAACGAUGCAUAGCCGACCUGAGAGGGUGAUCGGCCACACUGGAACUGAGACACGGUCCAGACUCCUACGGGAGGCAGCAGUAGGGAAUCUUCCGCAAUGGGCGAAAGCCUGACGGAGCAACGCCGCGUGAGUGAUGAAGGUCUUCGGAUCGUAAAACUCUGUUAUUAGGGAAGAACAUAUGUGUAAGUAACUGUGCACAUCUUGACGGUACCUAAUCAGAAAGCCACGGCUAACUACGUGCCAGCAGCCGCGGUAAUACGUAGGUGGCAAGCGUUAUCCGGAAUUAUUGGGCGUAAAGCGCGCGUAGGCGGUUUUUUAAGUCUGAUGUGAAAGCCCACGGCUCAACCGUGGAGGGUCAUUGGAAACUGGAAAACUUGAGUGCAGAAGAGGAAAGUGGAAUUCCAUGUGUAGCGGUGAAAUGCGCAGAGAUAUGGAGGAACACCAGUGGCGAAGGCGACUUUCUGGUCUGUAACUGACGCUGAUGUGCGAAAGCGUGGGGAUCAAACA